rnacentral:lncRNA from 1 species
CGGGGACCGAGAGCUGCGGGCGGGCUGGAGGUACCCCACCGCGGGGUGGUGCUCUGACUGCGGGAACCGUUGAAGAGCUGCCCCCGGGGAGUCAGCGAGGCGCCACUGGUCUCUUAGACAUCUUCUCAAGAUUAUGCUAAGAGAAAUGACUGCACCCUUUUCCUGAGCUAUGGCAGUCAGACCUGGCAGUGGUAACUACUCUACAGAACUCCCAAACCUGGCAAGGAUGGUGCAGAUUUUGGCAGAUUAUGGCUUUGUCCCCACCCAGCACUGAUGAUAUUAUAAAAUAUGACACCUUCAAGUAUAAGCAACCAAAGAAAACUAGAUAAAUUGGACCUCAUAAAGUAAAACAAACAAAAACCUUUUGCUUCAAAGGAUACCACUAAGCAAGCGAAAAGACAACACAUAGAAUGUGAGAAAAAGGUUGUAAAUCCUAUAUAUGACAAGGCACCUGUAUCCAGAAUAAAGAACCUCUUAAAACUCAACAAUAAAAACACAAAUAAUCUAAUUGUAAAAUAGCUUACAAUCAUUAUUGUAAAAUUGGCAAAGGAUUUAAAUAGAUAUUUUUCUAAAGAAGAUAUAAAAAUAG